rnacentral:rRNA from 1 species
UACGUAGGGCGCAAGCGUUGUCCGGAAUCAUUGGGCGUAGAGAGCUCGUAGGCGGCCUGUCGCGUCCGCUGUGAAAUCCCGGGGCUUAACCCCGGGCGUGCAGUGGAUACGGGCUGGCUGGAGGCAGGCAGGGGAGAACGGAAUUCCUGGUGUAGCGGUGAAAUGCGCAGAUAUCAGGAGGAACACCGGUGGCGAAGGCGGUUCUCUGGGCCUGUACUGACGCUGCGGAGCGAAAGCGUGGGGAGCGAACAGG